rnacentral:rRNA from 1 species
GACGAACGCUGGCGGCGUGCUUAACACAUGCAAGUCGAACGGAAAGGCCCUGCUUUUGUGGGGUGCUCGAGUGGCGAACGGGUGAGUAACACGUGAGUAACCUGCCCUUGACUUUGGGAUAACUUCAGGAAACUGGGGCUAAUACCGGAUAGGAGCUCCUGCUGCAUGGUGGGGGUUGGAAAGUUUCGGCGGUUGGGGAUGGACUCGCGGCUUAUCAGCUUGUUGGUGGGGUAGUGGCUUACCAAGGCUUUGACGGGUAGCCGGCCUGAGAGGGUGACCGGCGACAUUGGGACUGAGAUACGGACCAGACUCCUACGGGAGGCAGCAGUGGGGAAUAUGGCACAAUGGGCGGAAGCCUGAUGCAGCAACGCCGCGUGCGGGAUGACGGCCUUCGGGUUGUAAACCGAUUUCGACUGUGACGAAGAGUGAGUGACGGUAAUGGGUAAAGAAGCACCGGCUAACUACGUG